CACGCGCUCAGGUUGAUUGAAACUUAGUCGGGAAAGGGGUAUAUUUACCCUCCAGUCCCCACCCUGCUGGAGCAUACUGCGCACGCGCAGUUGGUGGGGUGAUUCAGGCAAGGCGCAACGCUGCGGGCGCUGCACAGGGUGGCCAUUGAGCAUUAAGCACCUGGUGUCACUCUGAGGAGUGUGUCUACACCAGGCAUGGGCAAACCUCGACCCUCCAGGUGUUUGGACUUCAACUCCCACAAUUCCUAACAGUAUAUCCACAGCGAACUGCAUUUUCUCGCUCUGCAUUCACUGCAAGGAAAGAUGAUCCAAACAAUCCUAACUGGGUGAAGGUUGGCCUUACUCUUGGUGCCACAGUUGCAAUAUGGUUACUGAUCUUCAAACAGCACAAUGAACAUUUAGCAGAAUAUGAAA